CAAGGCAAUACGCUAUGGCAGUGUGGUUAGCUGGUUGUGUAGAACUUUGGGGGGCUUCCGUGGCGUUCGCGCGCACACGGGGGCUCAGAUUCACAACCACUAUCCGCCCUGCCGCCGCGAGGUGCCAGGU
rnacentral:pre_miRNA from 1 species